CUGCAUGUUUAUCCAAGAGCUGUGGCUCCACGCAGUAGCUGCAGGUCUCCAACAACAUGCCAGAGCAAUUGGAAGGUCUUUGACUGCUGGGGCCUCUUCUGCCUAUGGCGGUCACUCGCCCCUCCGAUACAU
ensembl:snoRNA